rnacentral:rRNA from 1 species
CCCGACUGCUAUCAGAGUGGGACUAAGCCAUGCGAGUCAACAUAGCAAUAUGUGGCAUACGGCUCAGUAACACGUAGUCAACAUGCCCAGGGGACGUGGAUAACCUCGGGAAACUGAGGAUAAACCGCGAUAAGUCACUGCUUCUGGAAUGGGCAAUGNCUUAAAUCUAUAUGGCCCCUGGAUUGGACUGCGGCCGAUCAGGCUGUUGGUGAGGUAAUGGCCCACCAAACCUGUAACCGGUACGGGCUCUGAGAGGAGGAGCCCGGAGAUGGGCACUGAGACAAGGGCCCAGGCCCUAUGGGGCGCAGCAGGCGCGAAACCUCUGCAAUAGGCGAAAGCCUGACAGGGUUACUCUGAGUGAUUUCCGUUAAGGAGAUCUUUUGGCACCUCUAAAAAUGGUGCAGAAUAAGGGGUGGGCAAGUCUGGUGUCAGCCGCCGCGGUAAUACCAGCACCCCGAGUGGUCGGGACGAUUAUUGGGCCUAAAGCAUCCGUAGCCGGUUCUGCAAGUCUUCCGUUAAAUCCACCUGCUUAACAGAUGGGCUGCGGAAGAUACUAUAGAGCUAGGAGGCGGGAGAGGCAAGCGGUACUCAAUGGGUAGGGGUAAAAUCCGUUGAUCCAUUGAAGACCACCAGUGGCGAAGGCGGCUUGCCAGAACGCGCUCGACGGUGAGGGAUGAAAGCUGGGGGAGCAAACCGGAUUAGAUACCCGGGUAGUCCCAGCUGUAAACGAUGCAGACUCGGUGAUGAAUUGGCUUUAUGCCAAUUCAGUGCCGCAGGGAAGCCGUUAAGUUUGCCGCCUGGGGAG